CCGAACCGACUAGUGUUGCAAAAUUAGCGGAUGAGCUGUGGAUAGGGGUGAAAGGCUAAACAAAUCUGGAGAUAGCUGGUUCUCCCCGAAAACUAUUGAGGUAGUGCCUCGUGUAUGGCUCCAGGGGGUAGAGCACUGUUAUGGCUAGGGGGACAUGGCGUCUUACCAAACCAUGGCAAACUCCGAAUACUUGGAAGUCUGAGCACGGGAGACAGAGCACCGGGUGCUAACGUCCGGACUCAAAAGGGAAACAACCCAGACCGCCGGCUAAGGUCCCUAAUAUUGACUAAGUGGAAAACGAAGUGGGAAGGCUAAGACAGUCAGGAAGUUGGCUUAGAAGCAGCCAUCCUUCAAAGAAAGCGUAAUAGCUCACUGAUCGAGUCUUCCUGCGCGGAAGAUGUAACGGGGCUAAGUCAAUAACCGAAGCCGCGGAUUCGCAGCAAUGCGAGUGGUAGGGGAGCGUUCUGUAAGCCUGCGAAGGCGGAUCUGCGAGGACCGCUGGAGGUAUCAGAAGUGCGAAUGCUGACAUGAGUAACGUUAAAGCGGGUGAAAAGCCCGCUCGCCGCAAGCCCAAGGUUUCCUGCUCUACGUUCAUCGGAGCAGGGUGAGUCGGCCCCUAAGGUCAGGCUGAGAAGCGUAGCUGAUGGGAAGCUGGUUAAUAUUCCAGCACCGAUUUCAAGUGCGAAGGGGGGACGGAGUCCUGAAGGUCAUCCGGGUGUUGGAUAUCCCGGUUUACGAGCGUAGGAGGUUGACAGGCAAAUCCGUCAACGAAUCUCCAAGGCGAAGGAUCGAGGUUGAGAGAUCAACUGAAGUGACUGAAUGGGCUUCCAGGAAAAGCCUCUAAGCAUCAGCUUGGAAUUGACCGUACCGCAAACCGACACUGGUGGGCGAGCUGAAUAUGCUCAGGCGCUUGAGAGAACUCAGGAGAAGGAACUCGGCAAAUUGACACCGUAACUUCGGGAUAAGGUGUGCCUUUGUAGUGUGAAGGGAGAAACACCCCGAGCAUGAAGAGGCCUCAGAGAAUCGGUGGCUGCAACUGUUUACUAAAAACACAGCACUCUGCAAAGAUGAAAGUCGACGUAUAGGGUGUGAUGCCUGCCCGGUGCUGGAAGAUUAAUUGAUGGGGUGCAAGCUCCUGAUCGAAGUCCCAGUAAACGGCGGCCGUAACUAUAACGGUCCUAAGGUAGCGAAAUUCCUUGUCGGGCAAGUUCCGACCUGCACGAAUGGCAUAACGAUGGCCACACUGUCUCCUCCUGAGACUCAGUGAAGUUGAAGUGUUUGUGAUGAUGCAAUCUCCCCGCGGCUAGACGGAAAGACCCCAUGAACCUUUACUGUAGCUUUGCAUUGGACUUUGAACCGAUCUGUGUAGGAUAGGCGGGAGCCUGUGAAACCACAACGCCAGUUGUGGCGGAGGCGUCCUUGAAAUACCGCCCUGAUUUGUUUGAGGUUCUAACCUGGGACAGUCAUCCUGUCCGGGGACCGUGCAUGGUAGGCAGUUUGACUGGGGCGGUCUCCUCCUAAAGGGUAACGGAGGAGUGCGAAGGUACGCUAGGUACGGUCGGAAAUCGUGCUGAUAGUGCAAUGGCAAAAGCGUGCUUGACUGCGAGACCGACAAGUCGAGCAGAUACGAAAGUAGGUCAUAGUGAUCCGGUGGCUCUGCAUGGAAGGGCCAUCGCUCAACGGAUAAAAGGUACUCUGGGGAUAACAGGCUGAUACCGCCCAAGAGUUCAUAUCGACGGCGGUGUUUGGCACCUCGAUGUCGGCUCAUCUCAUCCUGGGGCUGUAGCCGGUCCCAAGGGUAUGGCUGUUCGCCAUUUAAAGAGGUACGUGAGCUGGGUUUAAAACGUCGUGAGACAGUUUUGUCCCUAUCUGCCGUGGGCGUUGGAAGAUUGACGGGGGCUGCUCCUAGUACGAGAGGACCGGAGUGGACUCACCUCUGGUGUACCGGUUGUCACGCCAGUGGCAUCGCCGGGUAGCUAUGUGGGGAA
rnacentral:rRNA from 1 species